UGUUCUGUUGAAACCCAGAUGACCUAUGUAGUCAGAGAGAGAAGGCUUUUAAAGAGAUGGCUGAGGAAAAGACAAAUGACCUAAACUGUUUCUUCUUAACCAAGACAGCUCCCUGCUGAGUUUGAUUCUUCUGUGUUUCAAGAAGAUCCCUGUGAACAAGAUUUCAGAAAACUGCUUUCCAAACAGUGGCGGCUGCAAAAUAGGAGGCUCAGUAAAGCAGAAGCUGAUACAGAAAGCUGGUGCGUGUUACUGGCCGGCAGCUGUGGUUCAUAUCAGGAGCAGAUCUAUUUCUGUGGUUAGAAACAAAACUAUGGUCACUCUCAGCCCCAUUUGACCUCUCAAGUACAGGCUCUGGACUCAAAAUCAGGAAUUAGCAGGCUUCAUCUUCUCCUUCGCAACAAACUGUGAAGAGCUUCAGCAGGAGGUUGGCUUCAGGGAGAGGCAAUGUAUCGGAACACAUUGCAAAAGACACUUCUUGCAAGAAAACACGGGGAAGAUGUCUUUGGCUGAUGACACAGUUCAGUUGCAAGACGCAGUACUUCACGAGGCUCGCAGAAGGAACCUGACACAGGUCUGCUGCAAUUUAUACCAGCUGCAACACAUAUAUAUGGAAAAUCUGGGGACGGACUAGGUUGGAUGUUGCCGCAGUCUUGCCUUUGCUCUGCCUCAGCCAGGAUGAGAAGGUGAAAUGAGAACUCUUUGCUCCUUCUUUACCCUCUCAUCACUGGCCAUGAGGGGUUUUAUAACAAGCAGUCCCAUUCAGAUGCGGCUUGAGGGCAUCUGUUGAGAAUGGUUGGCCCCUUUCUUCAGUCUGUAGCCACUUGUGCAGCCCAGUUAUGGAAGAAUUUUGCUGCCCCAGGCAGCUGCCUUUCUGCCUGGGUGAGGGGCAGCCCACCUCCACCCCUGCCUUUGACUGUAGAAGGUCAGAAGAACUCUACCGUUAGGAAGGCACCCCACCAGAGAGCUCUGCUAGAUGUCUCCAAAGUGCUUUCAAAACUGCAGAUGAAGGCUCAUAGGUGUUCAGCGAUACUACAGUGAUACUACUGUUUCUGAAAGGAAAGAUCUUCCCACCAGGCCUGUUAGGCCCUUUGGAUUCAGCCAAGCUCUGUCAGUUGACACCACUGGAUCUGACUUGGGAAGCCUCUGCUUGAUAUAGGUGUGAAUUAAUUCAGCUUUGUUCCAAGCACACCAACAGAGGCAUGAGUGAGAGAAAAUUAAUGCAGCUGAGCAUCUUUCAGAAAACUCAGAACCACACUUUGCACGUAGGUAGAUCUUGUCGUCAGUGCCUGGCAAGCCUUGUUAGAGGGUUUUAUUUUAAUCACUGGGAGAAAGGAGGAACUCAGUUUUGGAAACAGAUGGGUAAUGCACCUGGACCAUUAGUGCCCAUUGACCUCAGUAAGAUAGGCAGCUUUGUGUGGUGGGGCAUGUUUUGUUGGAUACUAGAGAAAAGAGUUUUCUGUCUGAAUUACGUGUUGAAGAGAUCUUACUACUAGAGCUGUUAAUGCUGUGUGUCCAGUGUCUUACUGGGCUAAACUGGUAGCAGGUAUAACGCUGGGCUUGUGUGCAAUUGCUCCUGAUCUGUGCCAGUGAGAACAGGAAAAAGAGUAAGUCUGGCAAGUGUCAGCAGCACCUUUUUUGAAAGGAUAACAAAGGUGAUUAGCAUCAUUUGCAGUAGUUCUAAGGAUAACCCAUUUCAAUGAUUCAGUAAUAAAACCUUACUCUCAGCAAAUCCCCAGAAAGGACAGUUUUUGAAAAGUUAAGGAUUUAUUUGUAGGUAUUGGAGUAUUUUGCUUCUUCUUCUGUAUACCUUGCUGGCUUUUUUCUGUAGUCCCAUCACCAGCUAUCAGACUCGAACACCGGCUCCAAGGGAAGAAAAUAAAGCAUCAACAAUGGCAAAGACCUGCCUACUGCAGGAUUAUUCUGAACAGCCUGUUCCUGACUGUUUUGCUCAGUCUACUUCUAAAUGAUUCAGUGAUAAAAUGUCACCCUUUUCCAUUCUAAGACAACUCACGAAUGGAAAGGUUUUUGCUCAUAACCUAAAUGCAAGGAUAUUGUCAUGGUAUGUCAUUUUGGGUCACUCUUGUACCCCUGACUAAGGAGUUUUCUGCCUCGAUGCAUCAGGAAGAUACAUGGGUUAAGCUAAAAUUUACAGCAUCUCUCUCGUUCCUCAGUCACCACCCCCACCCUUUCCCCCCUGCUAUUUGUUGUAGUGCAUGAGGAGAAGAGAGCAAGCGUGUCUCUUGGGUUUGACGGCUCCCUUCUGCUUCUCCGUCUUCUGUGGCCGCUGCUUUUGCUGCUUUGCCUGUUAACUGAAUGGCUGAUUUCCUGGCACAGGGACAACGCCGGUCCCUUGGCGGGAAGCUGAGCACACGCAGUAUUGCCAAGCAACACUUUCCAAUGGAUUGUGUGUGCCACAACUCUUGCUUGGUGUCACGUGCUCCAGUCUUCUGAUUUUUUUUUUUUCCUUUCCAUCCAGAGAAAAUGCAUAUGCAUAGGGAUGUGGGAGUGAGUGGGUAGAAAUGGGAUCUUAGUAGGCUGGGGGAAAGUAUUAGGGUAGAAGGGCCAGGAUUCCUUAAGGACACAGAUACAGCUAGAAAAGUGUUUAUAUUUUGGUCUGUUUAGGAGAUUUGUAUGGAAGCUGGGCUGUACUGGACCAUUCUAUGUCAUAGCUACUAAGAUGCCCAUGUGUGUCUCGAGAGAGCAUGGGUUGCUUCCCAGUCCUCCAACACGAGGGUCUGUCGUUGCCCUCUGCGAACCUCAGCGGGACACAGCAGAUCCUGCCCUGGAGGCAGGCUAAGCUCAGGUGAAAAUGUGGUGCUCUGAGCAUCUGAGCAUGUUUUCCACACUGCUCAUUUUGGUUCCAGCUGUUUCUCCUUCCUUUUCUCAACAGUGCUCUGCCUUAAAUGACUGAUAGUCCCUGUAACAUCUUAGUGACCAUUUUGCUUUGAAAACACGAUUGUCAGUGCAAGGAAAAGCUUCCUUGCUUCCUGCUUGAGGAAAGGCAGCUUGAAGACUGCUCUUCAGAGGUAUUGGUGCUGAUAAAGGGGUUUGUUGGAAUGUGACGAAAGGGAGUCCUUGCAGGCCACACAGCAAACAGUCUGCAUAAGAAUAUCUAGAAGAUCUCCUUUACUGAGUAUUUACCAGUGGCCUAUGCAUUUCUUGUCUGUUCUGUCCUCAGAUGGAAAAGGACAGAUGUCCCAUCCUGGAAUUUCUUGUUUGGCACUAGAGCUUGCUUUCUGCUUGGGAUACCAGAGUUAUAUAGCAGGUGUGCAUGCCCAUAUAAAAAAGGGUGUACUGUACUGUGUGGGAAUGAGUUUGGGUUUUGGGCUUCUGUGGUCCCAAAGGGCUAAGGAGAUGAUUCCUUGUCCUGUCCCAAAGCUAUUGAGACUAUGAACAAGGGGAGUGGAUUUCAUCCUGAAAGAACAUCUUCAGUGAUAGAUGACGAGCAUUCAUUUUGGGCUUGGUCCCAAAACUGUUCCCAAAUCAGGCAAGAGAACUGAAUGCAGCCCUUGAAGCACUCACACUAGUUCUAAAUGUCCUUUUCAUCUCUGAACAGGCACUUCUGGAUUUUAUUGCUCUUUGCAGUAGCCUGAGUAGUGACGCCGUUGCGCUGCUGCGGGCCCAUGCCAAGUGGUCUCUGCUGUGGGGCCUUUUCUCUCCUGCAUUUCUUGCUGAUCUUCACUGCUGCUUAUUCUGAAAGAGGACUGGACAAGGGCUUUGGGAUUUGGCUUCAGGACUUGAAGAUGAUGCUUUAAAUGCAAGGAAAAUGGAACGAGUGAAAGCAUCUUUAUUUAAGAGCUCUCUCUCCACCCCUCAAGCCUGCCACCAGAGCCACAUCUGUGGUUCUCAACUGUCUACCUGGUCACUGGGAUGGUGGGUACCAGGCACCACCUCAAAUACAGCAUAGAAGCAAGAAUGGUGCUAAUAACAAUGUGGGAAUCAGAGAGGCAAUGAAACUCUCAAUCUGGACGUUGCACAUCUCGUCCCAUGAAUGGAGUAAGUGAAUUCGCAAUAACACUGCAAUUGGUGCAAUGGCAGCUUGUCAGGCAGCUACUGGAGCAAGUAGAAGCACUCAAGCUGUGGUAAAUAUACUCUGCAUCACAAUUAUGUAACAGACCGCAUCCUAUCCUGCACUCAUUUGCUGAACAAAAAGGGCCAGCUCCUCAGCUGGUGCAAAUUGAGGUGGUGUCACUGACUUCGAUGGAUGAGGACUUAACCCUGGGAUGAUUCUCAACAAUCUCGCUCUCGAUUUCUUUAUUUCAUGCCAUUUAGAGAUGAACCUGUGUUCUUACCUUCUGCUGCACGUGCGACUUAAUUGAUUUCUAUUUUUUUAGAUGCUAUUUGUUAAUUCACAUUGUGUAUUUUGCCGACCAAUUAUAUGCAUGGCCAUAUUGUGUGACUGCAGCAGUCUGGUGCAGUGCAAGGAAUGCCACAUCAUGUGAGACGUUUCAUCUCCAUGAGUAACCUAGUCACUGUGGUAAAUGAAUACAUGAAUACAGUACAUCCAGGAGAGAUUAAACGUAUUGACCGGUGCCUCUAGUCACCAUACAAAUGUCAUUGUUUUUUAAAUUUUUUCCCCCCCUUUCUUGUUUUUUCGACACAUUUUGGUCCCCUUUUCGCUUCUCCCCUUUUCCCUUAAGUAGAGAUGACACAGAUCAAUACCUUUGAUGGAAAGUAAUAAUCAGGCCUAUUAAGUGACAAAGGUUUACUCUGUAACAGCUGUGCUGGCGGGAGAGGAGAGCUUGUCUGACUAAUGA